UACAGAGGGUGCGAGCGUUGUCCGGAAUUAUUGGGCGUAAAGGGCUCGUAGGCGGUUUGUCGCGUCGGGAGUGAAAACUCAGGGCUCAACCCUGAGCGUGCUUCCGAUACGGGCAGACUAGAGGUAUUCAGGGGAGAACGGAAUUCCUGGUGUAGCGGUGGAAUGCGCAGAUAUCAGGAGGAACACCGGUGACGAAGGCGGUUCUCUGGGAAUUACCUGACGCUGAGGAGCGAAAGCAUGGGGAGCGAACAGG
rnacentral:rRNA from 1 species